CUUCAAGUAAGGAUUUUAUAGUUUCUAUAAAAGUGAUGCACACUUGUUAUAAAAUGUAAUUGUGAAGAUUCCAGGAAGGAACCAUGUAGCCUCCAACUCCGGUCCCCAAAGCCAUCAACAUUGCUACCCUGUGUUCCUGGCAUCUCGGUGGAGAUGGGUGGACAGGGGAGCUCUCAUGGAUGGAGCCACUGUGAUGCGCUAGAACGUUAAAACUCUGCCGCUCUUGACUGUUAAAGUGAACCAUCUCUCAGUAAGUCAAACACAACAAAAUGGCUGACGAGAUGGCUCAGUCGUCAGAGGGCUUGGCUGCUCCAUCACUGCAAUUAUGACCAGUGCUGGGGUGACACCAGCGUCGGGUGAUAAAAACCAAGGCGCAAAUGUGAAAUGUGGUACACACGAAACUGGUGUCGCCCCACACUGUACGUCUGAGCUGAGCGAGUGCGUACAAACAAGCAGACCCCCAGUGGGCACAACUGUGGGUCGGGCCAAGAAGCCUUUCUGUGUAACAGGGCACAGGGCUCUCAGGCACUCACGUCCAGUGGAGCAAGGGUAAACUCCCCGAGGGGAUCAGCAGACCCUGUAGUGGUAGCCUUGCUACUUACUUACUACCUACUUACUUACUUACUUACUACCAUAGCUGCUGCCUAAGACCAACAGGAAUAUGAUGAGUCCUCCUCUCCUCCCUCUCCCCCCCACCCCCUUUCUGGUGCUGGCAUUCUGCUGGUGUCUUUGGAUCACCCGCCUCAGCAUGAAGGCAGCCAGGGGUUUAAACAGCCCACAAGCGACUCUGAGGAUGGCCUGGGCUCAGCCACAGCUCAGCCCUGCUUGGUGCUCACAGUACAGGGUCAGUGCUCAGCACCCAGGGGUGACACAGAGACAUGGUGUUCCUCUAACAGGGUGCAAAAGUGAAAAAGGAAGAUGCUAGCCCAGCUCCUAGUGCACAGCUGACCUGACCUGUGGAGGCACACACUGGGCUACUGAAAGGAAAAGCUAGGUUUAGAAACAGUUUGAGGUGACCAGAAAACAGUAUGCAGCAUAAACCCAAACUGCUGCUAGACUGGGACAGCGGAAGCUGAGCUGGGAGAUCUACCCAGCCUGGUGAGCCGAGUUCAGUGCCUGAGACACUCACUCAUGCAAGAACAGACUCCUUUAAGCUGUCCUCUGACCCACCUACAAAUUACACACACACACACACACACACACACACACACACACACACACACACACACACAGAAACACAGUGCUACCAUAAAUAAAUAAAUAAAUAAAUAAAUAAAUAAAUAAAUAAAAUGUCAUUUAAAAAGCAAGAAAUUGUGCUAGAGACAUGGUUCAGGCAGUAGAGUACUUGCCUAGCCUGCAGGGAACCCUGGGUUCCACUCCCCAGUACCCCAGACACGGAGGCAGAAGGAUCAAGAGUUUGAAGCCAUCCUUGGCUACAUAGGCAGUUUGAGACCCUGUCUCAAAACACUUAAAACAAUUGGUCAAAUAUGUCAAAAGCCAAACAGUGUCUCACUUCCUACUUUGUAUUCCAGCUUUGUUCACAGGAGAGAACACAGAGAAAGGGAAGCCAGCUGAUAUGAGUCUGUGAGCACAAAAGGCGGACAUUUUCCUGUCGCUUGGUUUCAUUGACAGGUUCCAGUGUGAGGACUCAGAUCUGUGACAGGCUGAGUCGCUGUGGAAUGCUGGCCAGGGCUCUGUGGUGUGACAGCCACUCUGGGCGGGAUAUCAAAUCACAGCAGGGUUCAGUCCUGACGGGUCCUGUGACACACAGACGGAAGAAAAACACACUCUCUAGAGGGGAACCGAGGUCAACAGAGGAAACAUUUCGGUGUGUGCUGCAGGGGUGAGCCAUGUUCUAAAGUCCCCAGGGAGAGCCCCUGCACGGGGCAGCACGGGCUGAGUGUCAGGUCCCCCUGCACUGUGGGCAGAAGGGCUCAGCUCUGCUCCAGGCUGGGGACAAGGUCCUGUGGCUCCCUUCUCAACAUUCAUCCUUUGCCUCUGGCUUCCCUUCCAUUAGGUCUCUAAAGCCGAGCUUCUCUAGCGGCUCCGGUGCCAUCAGCUGCCUGGAAGAGAAAGAUGUUGUCACAGGGUGGAGGGGAGGAAGGGCUGGGGGGUGGGCAGAGCUCCAUCCCACCAUGCUCUUUUCUUCAUUCACCUGCCCAGGCCUCCAGAGCCCACCCCCACCCCUGAUCUAAAACAGGAAAACAGACCCAGAGAGUGGUGUCCUCCCCAUAGGGCAAGAAGCCAACAGGUCAUGUGAGCCUCACGGUCCCUCCCAGCCACAUGGCCGGUCCAAGCUCAUAAGGACAGGGGCUGAGGAUAUGGGUGGGGUCAGGUAUGUGGGUGGGGUCACAUGACCCCACAGGUGCAAGCUGAAAUGGGGAGAGCUAGGACUAGAUAAGUGUCCUCAUAGCUGUGUGGACUCGCCUGUGAAGACUUUAGGGGUGCACAUAGCUGGGGGUAAGACCUCUUCACCCUCACACUGCAGAAAGGCAUUGAGGAGAGUCCUCCAGGUCACUGUGAAGGGGUACUUGGAGAGAGGAGGCCAGAAAGUGGUAUAGAAUGACCUAGCCUUGUCACCAGUGCUAUGAUCCCAGCACCCGUGAGGCUCUACCGCCUUUACAGCUACGUGGAAUACAGCUGCCCUGUGAAGAUAGAUGGAAACCCAGCACCGGGUUCCCCAGCCUGCCUCCUGACCAGCCGUCCACAUGCAGGGCUCUCAUGCUGUUGCCCACUCGAGCUGAUCCCUCCAUCCUCCACGCUCCAUUCCCUCAGUAAACGCCCCUCCCCCACCACACUCCACUUCCCGCAGCUCAGAACGCUAGUAGACACUCACAGUGAAUCUGGUCACCAUCUCUGCCUUACUCACAGUCAUGAUCCCCAAGGGCAGACAGUCCCAGGGCCCAGGGCCUGUGGGUGCCAAUGUCCUGAUAUGGAAGGAGAGGACCGGCUGGGAGGCCACACUCUAACCAGGGAGACGCCGAGGAUCAGAGUCUCAUUGGCUCUGGUCAGACAGCAAGCAAGCACCAGGAGGAAAGUGGCUCAUGGUCUGGAGAUGCAGAUGUCCCCACAUCUGCCAAAGACAGGGACAGAUGUCUCCCCCCUGCCCAGGAGCUCUUCAGGAAUUCUAGCUCUGGGAAGCUAAGGCCUACCUUCAGGCCAUCUGCCCAGUGGUUGCAGAGAUGAGUAUGGUAACUGUGGGAGGCUCCUCUGUGGCUCUGAAGCCACAGGUCACAGGCCUACCGAGGCUGGCUCUUACUGCCACUGGAUGCUCAGAGCAAGAAAAGGAACAACAACAACAAAAAUAUCAGCCAGGAAGGACAUGGCUUAGAAGACAUGGCUCAGCUCCCACGGGUCCCCACCGGCCUGGGCCCAGCUAACAGGAAGACCAGACACUUUAGGUCUUGCUCACAUCUGUGAGUCCAGUGUGGGGCAGAAAUAGGCUGUAGUGAGGCCAUCACAGCCCCUGUCCCAAAAGAUGAGUAAACAACGGCCGAGGAGACGGUUUGGUCGGUGAAGUUCUUGCUCUGGACACAAGAAGGGGCCAUGCUUGAUGCUCAGCCCCCACCGACAGACGGAAGGCCACCAAGGUGUGCUUGUGACCUCAUAGCUGGGGAGGUGGAGGCAGGAGCAACCCUGGAGUUCCACAGACAGAAAGACAGCAGCUUCCUCACACGCACACAGACAAAUGAAUAAGUCAAGCCACGGAAUGCUCUCAAUGUGCCUCUGUCACCUAAGGGGACACCCCUAGAAAACUGUCCCUGGGAUUUCUAAGGCCGGAGACACUAAGAUGAGCCCUGAGCUGUGCUCUGGAGCCUUCCUGAGGGCUCUGUGAUCCCUGCCUGUCCCAGCAACACUCAUUCCAUGCCCCUGUCACCUCUGCCUCUCUGGAGGUGGGGGCAGGAGAGCUGCAAGGUCACGGCCAGCUGAGAUGUGACGACAGCCGCAGCCCCCGAGGUUCCCCGCGCCCCGGAGGCCCGAGAAGGAGUAUUUUAACUUUAUUUUCUUACUUGCAUUUAUUUACAAACCCACCAACCACCAACCAAACCAAAACACCCUUGCCAACACUGGACAAAGCCAGAAGUUUCCUUGGGUGCCUGCACUCGCCUAGCUGAGGUCCCAUAGGCCAUGGAAGCAGGCCCUUCCCUCCCAACUCUGACGCACGUGUUCUAUGUGGUGUCGAGUGUGGCACGGGGACUAGGAGGCCUUGCUUCAGCUCACCCCACAGACAAACAGGCAAGAACCUCUGCUGGUACUGUCCAGAGCCUUGCCAGGCAGACUAGUCACCCCCCCAGAGGAUCUCAAAGUAGCCACACCCUCGAAGCAAUCAUAAGUAGGAGUCCCUACUUAUGCAUCUGUGCCAGGCACUACGGGCAAAACAAUCUGCUCAGGUUUGGAAAGGGGUAUGGAGGGGGUACUGUAGACAGAACCCAGGACUUCACUUAACUGUGGAAUGCAUCACCACUGAGCCACGCCCCCAGCCCCUCACUGGGGGACUCUAGGCAGGGGCUCUACCACUGAGCCACGCCCCCAGCCCCUCCCUGGGGGGAUUCUAGGCAGGGGCUCUACCACUGAGCCACACCCCAGCCCUUCACUCAGGGGAUUUUAAGCAGGUGCUCUAGCACUGAGCUAUAUUCUCAGCCCUGUUUU
rnacentral:lncRNA from 1 species